ensembl:lncRNA
GGGAGGGGAAAGGGACAGAGUGGUAGGGAAGGGGAAAGGGACAGAAUGGUGGGAAGAGGAAAGGGACAGAGUGGUAGGGAAAAUGGACGAAGGAGAAGGAAAGGCAUUCCUAAAGCCUGAGAACUACAGGUAGACCUGUACCUGUGGUUAGAUACACUGUUCUACAUUAUAAACACUCAAUCACACACACAAUGUUGGAUAUACUACAUUAAUUGGCAUGGACCUGUUAUUAUAGUCCAUUAAUAACACACACACACACACGGGUAAUUCUCACGAAACUGUAAUAAAAAAAUACAUUUAGUCAUUUUUCACAAAAUGUCCUCUUGAAUAACUGAGAUUAGGAUCUAUAUGUAUCUAUUUCAUACUUAUUAUUAUUUUUUAUUAGAUAUUAUGCAUUCUACCAACGUUUUCACAAAAUUCUCAUUCGUUUUUGAAGUCCAAAAAAGUUAAAUCAAUAUUUCUAAUAUUUUUUAACAUUGCUCCCCUAAUGAAAAUGCCUGAGUUAAACAUAACACUGAAAAUACAAUUAUUAUAAAAUGAAAAUCAGACUUUUCCCCAAUUUGAGCUCUUUAGCUGUUUUCUAAGGACUACUCUAGAUGAUGCAUCAUGGGUGAAGAAAUGUUUAUUUCAAAGCUGGAGUUUUAUAGGAACUUGGUAAUGAGACAUAUCCACAGACACUGCUUGUAUGUAAUAAAUAUUAUAGUUUAAUGUAAACUUCAACUAGUAUACCAUUUUUAUAAUUUAUGGAGAAACUACAGCAACAUAUUUUGUUUUAUUUAAACAAGUUAGGUUUUUUUAAAGAUGUAUUUUUAUAAAAUUACCAUGAAUUUAAUCAGUACGCAUUUCAGUAAUGAAAAUGUAUUUUUCAUUAUUUUUUUACAUGACACUUUCCCCUAAAACUAGACAUCUUAGUCCUCAGAAUGAUAUCAUGCACCACCCCACACACACACAAGUUAAGGAAUUGCAUUGGGAACGUCUGUGUGAUUUCAGUCCCUCUAAAAGAGUGUUCAAAAGGAUGUGAAUGGAAGAGAGGACAGAAUGAUGAGAAUGAAGGGAAGAAUAGAAGGAAGGGGAGAAGGAAGAAGAGAAGGAAGGGGAGAUGGGAGAAGGAAGAAGAGAAGAAAGGGGAGAAGGAAGAAGAGAAGGAAGAAGAGAAGAAAGGGGAGAAGGAAGGGGAGAUGGAAGAAUAGAAGGAAGGGAAGAAGAGAAGAAAGGGGAGAAGGAAGAAUAGAAGGAAGAAGAGAAGGAAGGGGAGAAGGAAGAAGAGAAGGAAGGGGAGAAAGUGUGAUGCUGCUUCUAGUAUGGCUCUUCUUACUGUACUCAUGUGCCUUACAGCCAGACUAUGGUGCUUUUACCUUAUUCUGUUAUUUUUCACUUACCUUGUUGUUGCUCAACCUGCUAUAAGCAUGUUUUGUCCAUGUGCCUUUAUGUCCAAUACUCCAGUUGCCAUGAAAGACAGACUUUAGAAAAGAGACACAACAAGAUUUAACCUACUGCACUGUAUGGACCUUGAUUUGAGGGCCUGUUAAUAAACUGCUUUAUUGAAUGGUUAAUAAACAAUUUAAUAAUGUAAACUGGUUCAUAAACAAUGUAAUCAUGUUUAUAAGCAUCUUAUAAGCAGUCCUUCAAACAAAGUGUUAAAUCGUUUUGGGGGUAUAUUGAGAUUCUGCGGAUUCUGAAUGAUGCUCUCCUUCCUCUGCUGAUGACAUGUUUAUGUGCCAGUGGUAACGCUCUGUCUGUAGACACUCUCCGUUGACAUUGGAGAGGAAAAGACUUGUUAUCAAACAGUUUUAUCAUGUUUUCGCUCUGUAUGUGCGUGACUAUUUUCAGUAUAUCUUCUGAGUGUCAUUGACAUGUUACCAAGGUCACACAGGCAGAACUUUAUUUUCAGUAUAUCUUCUGAGUGUCAUUGACAUCUUACCAAGGUCACACAGGCAGAACUUUAUUUUCAGUAUAUCUUCUGAGUGUCAUUGACAUCUUACCAAGGUCACACAGGCAGAACUUUAUUUUCAGUAUAUCUUCUGAGUGUCAUUGACAUGUUACCAAGGUCACACAGGCAGAACUUUAUUUUCAGUAUAUCUUCUGAGUGUCAUUGACAUGUUACCAAGGUCACACAGGCAGAACUUUAUUUUCAGUUUAUUUCAAUAGUUUUUGCAAAACAAAAAUUGCCAUUGUAAAUGUAAAGGCAAAAAACAACAGUCCAGCCAGUCAGGAUCCCAAAUAGAAUGUCAAUAAUUCAGAUUUUUUUUAAAGCAAUAUUUGAACUGUUUUCCAGUCUAGACCAGUUAAGACCAGUAUGGACCAGUUGUGGUUUCAUUGCAGUGUGGUAUGAUGCAUGUCAUCGACUAGAGAUGCAUUCAACUCCGCUAACGAUUAUAAAGCUCCCAACUCUGAGCGCCCACCAACAAUCCAACUCACCAAGAAUGUUCGACAACAGGAGCAAACUCUUCUAUUCUAUUGAAAACACUUGAUUGUGUACUCUUUCUUCAACAAUGACGAAAGUUUUCUGCAAAUGUUUGCAGAGUUGAAUGCCAGUCUGGUUUGGUCCAGUCCAAUCUGUUUCUGGGCAUAAUGAUCCAGUAGAAUCCUGACCCACACUGAUGAUAUCAUGCAUCAUGAUGGAUAUUCAUUGGGGGCCUGGAUUGGUUGGUCAGAACAGGACAUUUCUUCUCAGGAGACUGGAAAGGGCCAUUGUAAUUUAGGCUUUAUUUAGCACAGAUUUUUUUAGGCCAUACUGCCCCGGAUUAGAUUAUCCCGUGUGUGUGGUAUGUGUUUUUCUGUUAUUCUAGAGUGAUUUGAGGUAUGAUUCCUAUGAGAAACAGGUUUACAGUCAUGUUUCAUGUUUGACAUCAUUGUUUCAGAAAAGUUAGGAUUUUUCUUGAGUUUGGAUUUUAGCAACUCAAUUGCUCAGUAAGCAAAAAUAUGAUCCAUGGAACAAUGGAAGUGUUGUAUUUUUAUCAUUAUAUAUUUUCAAUUGUUGUUGUAUGUUAAGUGCCUUAUCUGUAAUGUAUGGGAUAGCCUACCCUCUCACCUUUCUACCUUCUUCAGCUCCUCUCAUCCUCAUUCAUCCUUUCUCCCUCUUUCUUCUGCUUCUUAUUGUUCCCCACUCCUACUCAUCCAUCUCCUCCCUCAUUCUGAGAUCCUCCCCUCAGCCUUUCACAUCCCCACUCCAACCCUCGUUCAUUUGUACUAACCUUGACCAAUCUUCCUCUCUUCCCCCGUCGCUUUGGAAAAACAACAGUCACGUAAUUACAGUGUUAUUUUUAUGUGUGUAUUAUGAUGCUUAAGUAUUAUCAUUAAUAAUAAAAACAACGAUCAUGAAUAACUACGCCAAA